AUAGCGUAUAUUAAAGUUGUUGCAGUUAAAAAGCUCGUAGUUGAACUUCAGACCUGGCCGGGCGGUCAGCUUAACGGCGUGUACUGUCUGGCUGGGCCUUACCUCUUGGUGAGCCGGUGUGCCCUUUAUUGGGUGCGUUGGGGAACCAGGACUUUUACCUUGAGAAAAUUAGAGUGUUCAAAGCAGGCCUAUGCCCGAAUACAUUAGCAUGGAAUAAUAAAAUAGGACGUGCGGUUCUAUUUUGUUGGUUUCUAGAGUCGCCGUAAUGAUUAAUAGGGAUAGUUGGGGGCAUUAGUAUUCAGUUGCUAGAGGUGAAAUUCUUGGAUUUACUGAAGACUAACUACUG
rnacentral:rRNA from 1 species